rnacentral:rRNA from 1 species
GAUGAACGCUGGCGGCGUGCCUAAUACAUGCAAGUCGAGCGAAUGGAUUAAGAGCUUGCUCUUAUGAAGUUAGCGGCGGACGGGUGAGUAACACGUGGGUAACCUGCCCAUAAGACUGGGAUAACUCCGGGAAACCGGGGCUAAUACCGGAUAAUAUUUUGAACUGCAUGGUUCAUAAUUGAAAGGCGGCCUCGGCUGUCACUUAUGGAUGGACCUGCGUCGCAUUAGCUAGUUGGUGAGGUAACGGCUCACCAAGGCAACGAUGCGUAGCCGACCUGAGAGGGUGAUCGGCCACACGGGGACUGAGGCACGGCCCAGACUCCUACGGGAGGCAGCAGUAGGGAAUCUUCCGCAAUGGACGAAAGUCUGACGGAGCAACGCCGCGUGAGUGAUGAAGGCUUUCGGGUCGUAAAACUCUGUUGUUAGGGAAGAACAAGUGCUAGUUGAAUAAGCUGGCACCUUGACGGUACCUAACCAGAAAGCCACGGCUAACUACGUGCCAGCCGCCGCCGUAA